GUGUGUGUGUGUGUGUGUGUGUGUGUAUAGGUCAUGAGACUUGGAAAGGGGAUUCUGAAGGUGAAAAGAAGCGCCCUGGCCAAGGAAGCAGGUAGUCUAAGGGCAUAUUCACUUUCUUCUCCUCUCUCCAAAUCCAUUCCCCCAGUCUUAUGCCCAGCUCUGUAACAGGCCACCUGCUGGAACCUCCCCUUCUCUCUACUCUGGGUUCUAAUAGACCACACUGAUAUUCCCCUCUGAAAUUCGUCUUCCCACUUAUUGCUUAAUCCAAGUCCCCAAAUCUAUCAGGCAUUCCCUUGGAGCCCUUAGGCCUCUCGAGCCAGAGAAGCAAAUGGGAGAAGUACAGAUUUCCCCCUCCCUCUCUUCUCUAAAUUCAAUCCUUCAGUCUCACGUAACUCUAUAACGAACUACCGUCUACAGACUCCACUUCUCUGCCACUAUCUUCAGAGGCUCACACAGAUUUUUUUCUCUAAACUUAUCCACUACUUACUCUGUUAUCCAGGCCUCUUACCCGGGAAGACAUUCCUUGGGAACCUACCAACCAAGCGUGACAGACAAGCAAUUAGGCCAGCAAAGCAGGUGACUAAGAAGGCACUGCUGGUCCAGCCUGCUUUCCUCCACCUGUGGACCACCUCUAAUCUCCACAGCCCACCCUCAUUCUUAGUAUCAGCUCCCAAUACCUAUAAAAAUAUUAUCUCUAGACCUUGCCCCUCAGAGGCCACACCUAUCAAGAUGCCAGAAUUUCCCACCAGGCAACAUACAACCACCACACUCUCCUAAGGACCAGAGAAGGCAACAGAGACCAAGGAACAAAAAACAAACUCAACAAAGACAAAAACAAAUAUAAAUGCUUAGAAUUUUAAUAUGUGCAAACCCAGAUUCCUAGAAGCCAAAAUAAAAACAAAUCAAUACCAGGCAGAAUAAUGUGACUUCACUACAGCCCAGCAACCCUACCUCAGUAGACCUGAGAAUUGCAACAUAGCAGAAGGACAAAGCAAAGAAGAUGAAUGACCAUUAUGAAUACGAUAUAGGUUCUUAAAGAAGAAAUAAGUAGCUCCUUUAAAGAAAUUUACAAACACCAAGACAAACAGUAGAAAAGAAAGAAUAAAACUGUUCAAAACCUGAAAGUCAAAAAUGGAAUUAAUUGGAAUUAAUUUGGUCAAAAAACCAAAACUAAAGGAAAUCUGAAAAUGAAAAAUUUAGGAAGUUCCUGGGCAAGGCUCACUGACAGAGUACAAGAGAUGCGAGAGAGAUUCUGAAGUUCUUGAAGACUGGAAGGAAGACACAAAUACCUUAAAUGAAAGAAAAUGAUAAAUCAAAAAAAAAAACCUCCUGUUACAAAACAUCUGGAAAAUCUGGGGCACUGUAUGAAAAGAAUGAAUCUAAGACUAUUAGGAAUAAAGGAAGGAAAAGAAAUCCAGGUCAAAGGCUCAGAAAAUAUUUUCAACAAAAUCACAGAAAAUUUCCCUACCUUAAAGGAGAUGCCUAUAAGGGUAAAAGAAGCUUAUAGAACACUUAAUAGACUAGACCAAAAACCAAAGACUUCUUGGCACAUAAUAAUGAAAACAUUAAAUAUACAGAGUGAAAAAGAAUGUCAAAAGCUACAUAGGAAAAAGACAGUAAAAUAUAAAGGCUGGCCUCUCUGAUUUCUCAAUGUAAACCAUAAAAACCAGAAAGGCCUGUAGGAUAGAUGUUCUAUAGACUCUAAGUGACCAUAAAUGGCAGCAAAGACUACUAUACCAAAGAAACUUUGAAUUACAAUAGAUUGACAAAAUAAGACAUUCCAUAAUAAAACCAAAUUGAAGCAGUAUCUAUCUACAAAUCCAUUCCUAUAGAAAGCACUACAAGGGAAACUCCCACUUAAACAGGUUAGUCAUACACACACACGCACACACACACACACACACACACACACACACACACACACACACAAAACCCAGAAGAACUCAAAGAUCCCAGGCCACAAACCAAUAAAAAGGGAAAUCUGUGCAUAUACAGACACACACACAACUACUACUACUACCACCAUCAAAACCUACUACAAUUAGUAGCCUACUUGUAUUACUACUACUACUAUGAGUACUAAUACUAUUACUAUAUAACAAAAAAAAAACCCAGAAAUCAACAAACACUGCUCCUUGAUUUCUCUAAAUAUGAAUGGUUUCAAUUCCUCAAUAACAAGACACACAUAGCAGGAUGGAUGCAAAAACGGGCUCUAUUCUUUUGCCACAUUGAAGAUACACACUUUAUCAUCAAGGAAUCAAUCUAUCUAAAGAUCCAGCUACACGACUCUUGAGCAUAUACGUAAAAGAUUAUCCAUCCUGCCUCAAAGAAACUUGUUCAACCAUGUUUAUUUCUGAUAAUAUCCAGAAAUUGGAAACAACUUAAGAUAUCACUCAAUAGAAGGUGGAUAAAGAAAAUGAGCUGUAUUUAUACAAUCAAGUAUCACUCAGUCAUUUUAAAAACAGCAUCUUGAAAUUUGCAGGUAAAGGGAUGGAACUAGAGAAAAACAUUGUGAGACCAGACAACUAGAUUUAUAAAUAGGUGAUAUUUAUACAUCGAUUAUAUGUGGGUAUUAGCUGUGAAGUCAACAAUAAUCAAGCUAUAAUUUGCAGAACGAGAGGAUAGUUUUGUAGUAAGGUACUGGAGAUGCACAUAGAGCUAGUUAGGAAAGAGAAAUAGAGUAGAUGGUUAUGGGUGGAUGGGGCACUGGAACUGGAGGAUCAAGUGGGAAGGGGGAGAGAAGCGGGAUGAGGGAGGAAAUAUGAGGAGAAACAGCUAAAAUUAAGGGCCAUUUAAGGGAUGGUAUGGAAAGCUAAUACAGUAGGAAUGCCCUAAAAUACAUACAACUAUGAAGGGGAUUUAAAUAAAAUAGCCAAAUAAUUGCGGUGACAGAGCCCCAGCUGAAUAGCUCUGGUCACCAAAUGAAACUUCCAUUAUUGGGGUUGUGUUACAUCCAAUUGAUUUGUUGGUCAAAGGGAUCAACUUAUGGGAACUCCCAAACAACUUAGGCUGUUACCAACAAGUGUCUUGCUCUCCACAGACUGAUAGUAAAUUCACAGUACUGAAAACAACCCUUACACUGUGCAUGGAACAAUGGAGCUGGUGCUUACACAGAGUCUUAACUCUUACAUGCAUGUGUCUUCGUCAUAGGAAUGUACUCUGCACGCCAUCAAAAAGAAACAUAAACACAAACUCAGCUACAAAUUCUUCGAUCUACAAUGGUGUCCUGCCUGCAACAUAUGCGAGUGCAGUAGCAGAAGAAAGCUUAUGAGAAUAACCAAAGAGUAUCUGCUUUGACUUACAGGCCACUCUGUGAUGUUCUAUGAUGUUCUUUGUAAAUGAGUAGAACCAAGCAACCACAGCCAAGCCCUGAGGAACUGUAAAAAAAAAAUAAAUCAUCUUUCCUUUCA
rnacentral:sRNA from 1 species